GCAAACUAUACUAAUCGAGUCAUAAUAAGGUCAUUUUAAUUUAUUAUUUUUUUUCAAUUUUUUUUUCUUUGUAUGUCCUCUGUUCAAAAAGAUUGGGGACAAAGGAUUUUGGAGAUAAUGAGAAGCAAACUGAUUUUCAUUGGUGUUAUAUUACAAGUGUGAAAAGCUUUAACAUUAAUCAUUGAAGCAUUAGAUCAUCAGCCACCUUUUUUCCACCACAUGCAGGCGAAAGAGUUUAACACCGCCAUGAUCAUAAUCUCUCAUCCUUCUCUUGUUUCAAGGCAGAGAAUUUCUGAUCCGCAACAAUGGUGACCAGCCGCCGCUUCUUUUGCCGUGGAACUUCGUCGCCCAACAAAAAACCGUUUCCAAAAGUGUCUAACCGGCAUCAAAAACCGCCUCCACUAUUGGGGUCUCCUAAGCAUUUCUUAAUCUUCAUCGUCAAUUGGUAUAACGCUUCUACUAUCAGUUCUGUAUUUUACAAAACCAAGGUAAUACUUAUAUUACUUUAACCGCUACUCACAGUAAGUUUUUUCUUUUUUAAAUUUUAUUUUUCUAUAUUGCUACCGUUCGUUUAACAAAUUUUUACAUAUUAGUAUUUUAAUUUGUUAAACGAAUGUGUAUUUGGAUGGCUCAAUAUAAUAGCCGCAAAGUCCAUUUUUAUUUUCUUCGUUUAAGACUGGUUCAUUUUCUUCAUGAGA